rnacentral:lncRNA from 1 species
GGCUGCGGAGUUACUAGCUGCAUAGACGUAUCCUCAGUCACAUUGUGAAUGAGCACAUCGUUCUUAUUAAAAGUAUUCCUCUUGUUGCCAAAUCAUAAGUGAAAAAUCUUCUUUUGUCCAAUAAGCCUGAGAAACUCGUUUGGUAAUAGCUGCUAGUCCUCCAGUCUCUAAUUCAUUUCCAGGUCUUUGCAAGGCAUGCCUAAAAGUUUCCCGCCGCAUUUACCGAUUAUCAAAGGACUCAUUUCAUUUGUUUCAUCUUCGAGAAUGAGAUUAACUUUGUACCUACAUUUAGAAACUCAACCUUAUGAGAUUUUUUGAGAAUCACAAAUUGCCACAAACUAAAUACCUAAAUAAGCAGAACUAAAACAGAUCACACACAUGCAAUAACUUUAUUGAAUUAUACAAUGAUCAUAUGCAACCAAAUAUAACAAAAAAGAAAAAGGAAAAUGAAGGAAAGGGGAAAAAGAAAGUUUUGCCAUAGCAGGAAAUGUUUUUUAUAAGAUUUAGGUUUAUAUGAUGUUAAUGAGACAAAAACACAAAGCAAAGAGAAAACAAUGGUAACAAAAAUAAUUUUUCAAAGAACAUCAUGUUUAAGAACCAUUCGGGACAUCCAUUGCAAAAACACUUCACAAUCCAAAAUUUAAAAUUUUUUAAAGUGUGACUGUAUAAAGAAUGAAACUAAAUUUGUACAUUCCGUACUGAAUGUCAUUAGCCUUCUCUGUAUCUAUUUGUUCCAAUCGGCUAACAACAACAAACCACAGGACAACCAGAAAGAGCCAAUUUUUUUAUUAGGUUUGCUUUAAACAUUUGAUUUAACAUUACCAAAGCGUUGGAAUCUGGUUGGGAUGUUUUUGGCAAAUGAGUUGGCCACUGGUUAGAUCCUUGUGCAUCUGUUUUACACAGUGCGGGCAAGCACUGUACCACCCAUCGAAGCGCGUGUCAAAACACUUAAUAGAUGCUUUGCACAGAAAUGUGUCAUCCUGUAACACAUUUUGUCACUUAUUUGUAGAAUGACAACACAAUUAGUUCUAUUGAAAAUGUUAAAAUCAAAUCGUCAAGUUUUAAUACCUUGUGCAAGUCCGGAUCCAAAAACGCUAAUUCAUCAAUCGUUUUAGCGAUAUGCAAAAUUUCAGCUUAGCAUUUUCAAACGUUCUGUUCAAUCAAAAAACCUGCAAGCAUCAAAACAUUUUAUGAGUUUAACAAUUUAAAAAAAAAAAAACACAAACCAUACUCCACUAAAAAGAAUUAACAGGGUCUUAUUUUGUUUUGACAAUGAGAAACACACUCACACUGACUUAUAUGCAUUGACUUCGGGGAUGUUUGGAUCAAUAAAAAAAAAGGGAUGAACCAGUACUAUUUAAAGCGAUCUUAUCUGCACGUUGGAAUCACAGCACAUAAAACAAAAAGAAAAUAUUAAUAAAGGUGGCUCAUCACAUUUUAUGACAAAAACUACACAAUAGAGAUAAUCUACAAUACGUAGAUACCCAAAUGUUUAAAAAGUUUUCAUAAAAUCGUGGGACAAUCAGCUGUAUGAUGUGGUGCAUUUCAAACCAACUAAGUCAUUCAUAAAACAAUAUUUAUCAUUUUCUAACUGUUAAUGAACAACCGAUGCUCAAAUCUACUUAACAGACAUGGUUGAAUAAAAAAGAAAACGAAGUAAGAAAAAGAUCAGUAGCAAUCAGUAAUGACUGAUAUAUUAAGAUGCUUCUAAACUAAUU